rnacentral:rRNA from 1 species
AUUGAACGCUGGCGGCAGGCCUAACACAUGCAAGUCGAACGAGUGGCGGACGGGUGAGUAAUGUCUGGGAAACUGCCCGUUGGAGGGGGAUAACUACUGGAAAAGGUAGCUAAAACCGCAAACCAUCGGCAUAGCCCAGAUCGGAUUAGCUAGUAGGUGGGGUAACGGCUCACCGAGGCGACGAUCCGUAGCUGGUCUGAGAGGAUGACCAGCCACACUGGAACGGAGACACGGUCCAGACUCCUACGGGAGGCAGCAGUGGGGAAUAUUGCACAAGGGGCGAAAGCCUGAUCCAGCAAUGCCGCGUGUAUGAAGAAGGCCUUCGGGUUGUAAAGUUCUUGUGUCAGGGAAGCGUUACCUGCAGAAGAAGCACCGGCUAACGACGUGCCAGCAGCCGCGGUAAUUC